AGGGCCGAUUAAACAGUUGCGGGUACGGCACUAAAGCACCGUAUUUGAGGAAAGUCCGGGCUCCACAGGGUAAGGAUAACGGCUAACGGCCGCCGGGGGCAACCCCAGGGAAAGUGCAACAGAGAUAUACCGCCCCUCACAUGCUUUAGCUUGUGAGGGGUAAGGGUGGAAAGGCGAGGUAAGAGCUCACCGGCGUGCAGGGGACUGCACGGCCCUGUAAACCCUAUCCGGAGCAACGCCGUGGCGGAGCAUUAACAUUUACCCGAUGGCUCCAUGGAGGCGGCUUGACGUGUGCGGUAACGCCCAUGCAAGAUAGAUAACUGUUCACGACAGAACCCGGCUUAUCGAUCGGCCCUUUAU
rnacentral:RNase_P_RNA from 1 species